GAUAUACUCAUAAAUGGGGUAGAAUGUAUCCGUAUUCUUGAGAAGAUCCUGAAUAGAGCGCGGGACAUCCAGGGCUUCUUUGUAUAAAUCCAGUAAAUUGUCAAUAAGAAUAAUCCUUUGUAGAUUAAAUGCAGAGCAAUCAAAAAAUAUAUGAUCCAGGGAUUGAAUUAUAUCGUUAUUACAGUAUGUGCAAUUUGGGGAAGGUAUCAUUUUUAAUCUAAAAAGGUGUUCAUUGAAUCUGCCAUGUCCAAGUCUUAAACGACAAAUAGUUGAAUAAAAGUUUCUGUUUAUAAAUUUUCCUUUGAUGAACCAGGGUUGAGUAAUGUCGGAGUUGAUAGAGCUAUACCAUUUUCCUUUACUUUGGAUUGUUUCAUGCCAAUGAGUCAUCCAUUGGUCUUUUAUAAUAUUCUUGAUUAAAACUUUGCAGUCUGAACCUGGCAACUUAAUAUUUUUAAUAGGUAUUUGUUGGAUAUUGGGAUUUUUUACUAUGGAGCUGGCAAGUUUAUCAGCGAGGUCAUUACCCGAAACGUCAAUGUGUGAAGGUGUCCAAAUAAAGCGGAUUUCUCUGUCUUGAUUGAGCCAAAGCCUGCUAUAAAUCUGCCUGAUGUUGUAUAUGAUGUAAUUUGUGCCACUACUAUAAGAAGGAUUUGAUAAAGCCAUUAAUACACUCAUGCUGUCCGAAAUGAUCAACCAUUUCUUGAAAUUAAGGUAUUCCCAAAGAAGAAAGAGUUGUACAUAAAACUUAAUGGUUAAUGUUAUUAAAUGCGCCUACAAUAUCAAAAAAGAUACAUAUAAGGUGUUUAUUACUGUUAAUGGCAGUGUUAAUAUCAUGGAAGAGAUGACCUAUACUUUCUCUUGCUGAUCGACCACGACGAAACCCAAAUUGAUUUCUUGGAAGGAUAUGAUUUCUUUCAAUAUAAAACUCAAGACGCUGUUUUAUUAGUUGCUCAAAGAGUUUGCCUGAACAGGAUGUUAAAGCUAUUGGACGAGUCCAGGACAUCUCUUCCACGAGCACUGACGGAUUGACAGCCCCAAAUGGUGUGAUGAGCAUUAAAAUCGCCUGAUACAAAACAUGGUUUAGAUGGAGCAGCGUUCCGAGUUCUUACAAAACUUUGCUAAAUGGCCAUACCUGAGACACCGGAAACAUUGCUUGACUGGAGGAACAUACGCUGUAAUAUCAUGCCGCCAACCGUCCAAGUCGACGUAGUCUGGAAGUACUGACGUCGCGAAGGUGAUGGCUACAGUCUGCAGGGGCUGUAGAAUAAAAUUGUUGUCAAUCUUUGUCCUCUUUGUAAAUCUCCUUACAGAUAUGAUCUUCUUGUAACUAGACAGCAUGGUGAAGAUUUUUUUGUUUGUCAGAUUGGUAGGCACAUUUUUAAUAAUACCAGUAAUUUCUGUGCUUUGUGCUGGUAUAUUAGCCUUAAAUUGAUAAUCCUUUAGGAACGUGGAGUUGUUCAAAAAGGCAUUUGCAAGGCUGGCCUUUUCAAAAUAUAUUGCAAUUUUAAAUUUGUUCAUUGAUCUCAGGUAUUUUACACCUUUGUUGAAUCUUUUAAUGCAACUCGAUAUGGACAUAAGGUCUCUUGUUCCAAUGGGCAUCUCCGCAUUGGAGGACUCUACGAAAACAACAAACUCUGCAGCUCCGGAAUCGUCUGGGUAACGCCUCUUGUAAUCUGUUACUAAAUAAGGUUUUGAAAUAUCUAAAACUUCAACCUCAGAUUCGGACGACGUCGUUUCUACGUCGGACUUAUCACCCUCAUCAUCCUUCUUCCUUUUUUUUCUUGUUCUCACCUUCCUCAUUGCUAUUUUUUAAUUUAUUAUGUAUGCAACAAACUUUUUAUUGGUUUUUAUUAGUAAUUUACGUAUUUGCAGUAGUUUUAAUGAAUAUUAUUAAUAAAUUUUUCGAAAAUCC